UCCAGGUGGGUCUUGAAUGUCUCCAGAGAAGGAGACUCCACCACCUCCCUGGGCAGCCUGUUCCAGUGCUCCAUCAUUGUAUAUGAGGAGACAAAUCUUUGAUUGGAGAAGGUUUCAGUUUUCAAAUGAUCUAUUUCAUAUACUCUUUGUAUACCCAAAAACGCUCUGUUAGCAGAGAAAAGAAUUUCUAUGCAAGUUCUCAUACAUAGUCUCUGUGUAUGUCAAUCUCAAUUUGAAUUGCACUGAAAAUAGCUGUAAGUAAAUAACUGAAGACACAUUGAUCUACUGUUGGCUGCUGUACCAGCUAUAUGCGUUAUGUCACAGAUGUCUAAGCAAGUUUCGCUGUCAGGAGCUAUAGGACAGCAGUUAGCACUUCAUAGGGUGUCUCUGAAAGUUGUUUUUCUUCCUAAGUGUCCUUUAAACAUUGUUAAGGCUUCACAUUGUUGUGUUUCACCUGGUGACUCCUAUACAUUUUGGUUUUAAUUUAAAAUGUUCUCAAUUUUAUCAUCAGUCAGUUGAAAUUUGAUUAGUUGUAUUUAUUUUGGCAAUGGAUAAAACAGUCACAGAUGAGCCAUGAAGUGGGCUGGCUCCUGCAGCCUCACAAAGCCAGCUGUGUUAUUCUUUCCUUUGCUCCGUGUUAAUCUUAAAUGUAUUCUGAGGUAUGGAACCUUACCAGAUGUUUAUUAAGUGCAGUGUAACACAGCUAAUAUUCUGCAUAGUCUUAGAGUAAUGGUACUCUUAUGUUGGCUAUUUGAUAUAAUGUUUUAAUCUCAACCUGACAAAUUUAUACUUCAUUAAUAAACUUGGGAAUAAAAAACAGAAGAAGCCCUGUCUCUGUAAUCCAGCUUUCUCACGAUUCAUAGCACAGAAAACCGCCUUUCUGCCGCUUUCUGAAGCACUGCGUGUGCGUCCACGGGGAAGCAGCCCCGCUGCACACAGCCAUUAGCGAUUGCAGCAGCGGUGUAAACACGCGCAUCCACGCUCACUAAGCAGUUUUUCUCUCAGUGAUUGCUGGGAUAGGUUCUGGUGCCGCCCAUUACCCGCGUGCUGCUGUCCGCUGAACGGCACCGCAAGAGGGAGAGCGGCCGAGCGGCACGGCACGUAUCACAGCGCCGCGGGAGACGACGAGAGCCGCCGGCCCGGGGCGCUGCGCUGUGCUGCCGGCUGGCAAUGCUCCAUCGCGCUGCGGGGCGCCUCGGUACCGGCGGCCAAUCACCGCACACCGCUCACACCACACAGGUCAAUGAACGCCGCUCGCGUUUCGCGCGCUGUUCCGCACGACGGCCCGCCCCGCGGCGCUCCCCGCACGUGAGACAGGCUGUGAACCUGAGGAGUCCACGUCAGCACUCUCAAACAGGACUAACUGUGCACUGCAAGAUUGCACACCUGAAAAACCUUCUGUCCCUACGUUUUGCUCUGCUACAGGCAAUCAUUAGGCAUGUGAAUGACUUAUGGAGCUGCUCAGCAAAUGCUGAUGUCUGCAGAAGCAUAAGAUGGAGUUUCCAUCAGCUUCAGAAAGGAUUCAUACAGCUUUCAAAUAUGUCAUUUAAAAUAAUCACAGUAGAUACUAAGGAAGGAAAUAAAAUAAGCCUACAUGUCAGCCUGUGAUUCACAUUGCCCUUUGAAGUUUUGCUUGUAGAUUCUUGUCUUUUUUUUAGAGCAAACUACUCAAGUUCAUGUCCUCCUUUCUUCUUAGAGAUGUAAAUUCAGUUCAUUUUAAAGUAAAACUCAAAUCAGACCACCUAGUGCUGUGGAUGUCCUUCAGCUUGUUUUAGUCUUUUGUCAGAAUUUCUAAAAAGGCAAAAGAUAGGUAGGUUAUUUUGAAAAUCUUAAUAUUUUUUCUGAAAAUCCCCUUUUGCCAGUCUGUCCAGAAGUGCCUCAAGCACCCAAAUGAAGAAGGAUAAAGCUUUUAGGAGGUUACAUUCUGCUGGGGCAUGCAUGCAUAAAAUUGUCUUAUUUGUGUAAUGGCCAUAGAAACGGCCCUACAAAAGGAAUUCAGAGUGUAGAGAGAAGUGCUUAGGGCAAUUCUUGGGAUCCUGAAAAGCUGGGUGAAAGAAGAAGCCUGAGGUGACUGGAAUGCAUAAUAGAGUUUUGAAGCCUGACAAAACCCUUAAAAGAUUUGGAAAGGACAGCUUAAUACAGUUGAGUGCAAAUAAAGAAUGAAGGGCAGUAAAGGUAAAAACAAAACUAAAAAACAGAACAAAAAGAAACAACCCGUUUGUGGUGAGAGUUGGCAAUCAGAAUGUUAUUAGUGAGUCAUCUAGAACGAUCUUAUUUACUCUGCUGUCAUUCUUUGAAGUUAAACUAGUGCUUUCUGAACAUCAGACACUUCACUUACUCUUAGUGGCAGCUUAGCUACUUAGCCCAGUCAUUUCUGAAAUGCUGUUCUGACUGUUUCACGUGACAAAUGGGA